rnacentral:misc_RNA from 1 species
AAAUCAGAGAUUUUUUAGACAGAGGAUGCGAUAAAGGUUUUAUUUUGUUGUAGUGAGUCAUGCAACUGAUAAAUUGCAACAAAACUUCAGGAAUACGAAGUUUUUGUAUGAUCAGGUAUUCAUCUCGCAUGUACAUACAAAGAAUCUUAUAUUAUUACUGUUUAGUGUACUUGCAUUUGAUAAUCAAACUGUAUACUCUUCAUUUACAUUGACAUUCUCUGUAAUUUCAGAAUGUUUGACUAUUGAUUGUUAUAUCUUAAAAAGAAUAACAAAUCAACUUGUUGAUGUUUACAUAUUUAUUUGGAUUAGAUUGUAGAUAGAUACAUGUAUAUGUACAAUUAUAUCUUACCCAUUGCACUGGUUAAAGAUGAGUUAUUGUGAGAGAAGAUACAUGUAUAUAUAUUUCAAUAAAAUUGUGUGAACUGAU